UAUUGUUCGUCUAUUAAUCACUAGCUCUGGAAUAGUUGGCACAGGCUCAUCUACAACUAGUUCUUGAGGAAGUUUGACUGCAAGUGGAUAUCUCCAACAACUCUUGAGUUGUGAUACAUGAAAAUCAAGAUGGACUUUUGAACUUGGAGGGAGUAAUAAUUUGUAUGCCACAAAAGCAAUACGUGCUAAAAUUUAAGAAGGAUAUUGUUGCCUAUGAGGCCUGAGUUUUAAUAAAACUGUCUCCUACAAAAAAAUUCCAAUCCCUGCUUUUUGAAUUUGCUUCUUGUCAUUUGUUGCUCUAUGCUCACUGCAGAUUAUAAGUUAGUUGGCG
rnacentral:misc_RNA from 1 species